rnacentral:rRNA from 1 species
AUUGAACGCUGGCGGAAUGCCUUACACAUGCAAGUCGAACGGCAGCACGGACUUCGGUCUGGUGGCGAGUGGCGAACGGGUGAGUAAUGUAUCGGAACGUGCCCAGUCGUGGGGGAUAACGUAGUGAAAAUUACGCUAAUACCGCAUACGAUCUAUGGAUGAAAGCGGGGGAUCGCAAGACCUCGCGCGAUUGGAGCGGCCGAUAUCAGAUUAGGUAGUUGGUGGGGUAAAGGCCCACCAAGCCAACGAUCUGUAGCUGGUCUGAGAGGAAGACCAGCCACACUGGAACUGAGACACGGUCCAGACUCCUACGGGAGGCAGCAGUGGGGAAUUUUGGACAAUGGGCGAAAGCCUGAUCCAGCCAUUCCGCGUGCAGGAUGGAGGCCCUCGGGUUGUAAACUGCUUUUGUACAGAACGAAAAGGUUUCUACUAAUACUAGGAGCUCAUGACGGUACUGUAAGAAUAAGCACCGGCUAACUACGUGCCAGCCGCCGCGGUAA